AUACUUAUCUAGCAAGGGAAAUACCAAUGUCACAAAAGUGGUUUUCCUAGGGCGAGGCUUAUCCAUUGCUCUCUGGAUGUACUGACCCCUAUGAUUUCCCCAAAUGUGAGAAACUCGACUGCAUAAUUUGUGGUAGUGGAAGACUGCGUUCACGUGCUCCCCUG